CCUACGGGUGGCAGCAGUGAGGAAUAUUGGUCAAUGGACGGAAGUCUGAACCAGCCAUGCCGCGUGCAGGAUGACGGCUCUAUGGGUUGUAAACUGCUUUUGUGUUAGGAUAAACCCCCCUACGUGUGGAUGCUUGCAGGUAUCAUACGAAUAAGGAUCGGCUAACUCCGUGCCAGCAGCCGCGGUAAUACGGAGGGUCCGGGCGUUAUCCGGAUUUAUUGGGUUUAAAGGGUGCGUAGGCGGUUUGAUAAGUUAGCGGUGAAAUACCGGGGCUCAACCACGGGACUGCGGCGAAUACUGGUGAACUAGAGAGUACGUGCGGCAGGCGGAAUGUAUGGUGUAGCGGUGAAAUGCUUAGAGAUCACACAGAACACCGAUUGCGAAGGCAGCCUACCAAAGUAUAUCUGACGCUGAGGCACGAAAGCGCGGGUAGCAAACAGGAUUAGAUACCCUAGUAGUC
rnacentral:rRNA from 1 species